rnacentral:rRNA from 1 species
AGAGGGUGCGAGCGUUAAUCGGAAUUACUGGGCGUAAAGCGUGCGUAGACGGUUAUUUAAGUCGGGUGUGAAAGCCCCGGGCUCAACCUGGGAAUUGCAUUCGAGACUGAAUAGCUAGGGUACGGUAGAGGGAAGCGGAAUUUCCGGUGUAGCGGUGAAAUGCGUAGAUAUCGGAAGGAACAUCAGUGGCGAAAGCGGCUUCCUGGACCAGUACCGACGUUCAGGCACGAAAGCGUGGGGAGCAAACAGGAUUAGAUACCCUGGUAGUCCACGCCAUAAACGAUGAGGACUAGACGUUGGAGGGGUAAGCCUUUCAGUGUCGUAGCUAACGCGCUAAGUCCUCCGCCUGGGGAGUACGGCCGCAAGGUUGAA